AGUGAACGCUGGCGGCAGGCCUAACACAUGCAAGUCGAACGAGUGGCGGACGGGUGAGGAAUACAUCGGAAUCUACUUUGUCGAGGGGGAUAACGUAUGGAACCUUACGCUAAUACCGCAUACGAUUGAAUGUGCCGAUGUGGGAUUAGCUAGUUGGUGGGGUAAAGGCUCACCAAGGCGACGAUCCGUAGCUGGUCUGAGAGGAUGACCAGCCACACUGGAACGGAGACACGGUCCAGACUCCUACGGGAGGCAGCAGUGGGGAAUAUUGGACAAUGGGCGAAAGCCUGAUCCAGCCAUGCCGCGUGUGUGAAGAAGGUCUUCGGAUUGUAAAGCACUUUAAGUUGGGAGGCGUUACCAACAGAAUAAGCACCGGCUAACUUCGUGCCAGCAGCCGCGGUAAUUC
rnacentral:rRNA from 1 species